ACAGCAGCCGCCGCGGUAAUACGGAGGAUGCGAGCGUUAUUCGGAAUCAUUGGGUUUAAAGGGUCUGUAGGCGGGCUAUUAAGUCAGGGGUGAAAGGUUUCAGCUUAACUGAGAAAUUGCCUUUGAUACUGGUAGUCUUGAAUAUCUGUGAAGUUCUUGGAAUGUGUAGUGUAGCGGUGAAAUGCUUAGAUAUUACACAGAACACCGAUUGCGAAGGCAGGGGACUAACAGACAAUUGACGCUGAGAGACGAAAGCGUGGGGAGCGAACAGGAUUAGAUACCCCAGUAGUCCCUGUCUCUUAUAA
rnacentral:rRNA from 1 species